GUGGCACACAUACUAAAAUUAGAAAGAUACAGAGACUUUUAGCAUGUGUUCUGUGCAAGGAGGACAUGCAAAUUCGUGAAGUACUCCAAAGUCUU
rnacentral:snRNA from 1 species